GUAAUCCUUGUCUAGGGGAGCUGAGAACGUCCGUGAUCGUUAAGUGAGACUUCUUUUGCUGAAACCCUAAAUUAUUGCCCGCAUCCGUUACAACUUGAACGAAUGCAAUUUUUGAAGAG